UCCAAGAUAGGAGUUUGGCCCAGGACCAU
rnacentral:piRNA from 1 species